rnacentral:rRNA from 1 species
GCCUAACACAUGCAAGUCGAACGAGACCUUCGGGUCUAGUGGCGCACGGGUGCGUAACGCGUGGGAAUCUGCCCUUGGGUUCGGUAUAACAGUGAGAAAUUACUGCUAAUACCGGAUGAUGUCGCAAGACCAAAGAUUUAUCGCCCAGGGAUGAGCCCGCGUAGGAUUAGCUAGUUGGUGAGGUAAAGGCUCACCAAGGCGACGAUCCUUAGCUGGUCUGAGAGGAUGAUCAGCCACACUGGGACUGAGACACGGCCCAGACUCCUACGGGAGGCAGCAGUGGGGAAUAUUGGACAAUGGGCGAAAGCCUGAUCCAGCAAUGCCGCGUGAGUGAUGAAGGCCUUAGGGUUGUAAAGCUCUUUUACCCGGGAUGAUAAUGACAGUACCGGGAGAAUAAGCCCCGGCUAACUCCG